UGGGGAAUUUUGGACAAUGGGCGCAAGCCUGAUCCAGCCAUGCCGCGUGAGUGAAGAAGGCCUUCGGGUUGUAAAGCUCUUUCGGACGGGAAGAAAUGGCGGGCUCUAACAUAGCCUGUCGAUGACGGUACCGUAAGAAGAAGCACCGGCUAACUACGUGCCAGCAGCCGCGGUAAUACGUAGGGUGCGAGCGUUAAUCGGAAUUAUUGGGUUUAAAGGGUGCGUAGGCGGACUAAUAAGUCAGUGGUGAAAGCCUGCAGCUUAACUGCAGAAUUGCCAUUGAUACUGGUAGUCUUGAGUACAGUUGAGGUAGGCGGAAUGUGUCAUGUAGCGGUGAAAUGCUUAGAUAUGACACAGAACACCGAUUGCGAAGGCAGCUUGCUAAGCUGUAACUGACGCUGAGGCACGAAAGCGUGGGGAGCAAACA
rnacentral:rRNA from 1 species